CAGCUGACGUUUCCUAUAUUUUCUCCCAUUUUCUCUCAUAUAGUAUAACCCUUACUCUAUAUAACAGGGACAGAAUCCUCUCUUCAGGUUGGGACAAUGAUUUUACACUUCAAUUCUCUGAAAAUUCAUAAUUCCCUUUUCAUUUUGCAUUGAUUUUACAUUAGAGUUUCACUGGCUUUGGUCUAUUGCUGGAUUUUUGGGCUGAAGAUUAAAGCUAUUGUGUGUUGUUUUCUACUGCUGUUUGCUGUUGUUGUCAAGCUGUGUUUGAAUUGAACUUCUUGCUGCACGUCUCAACUUGAAAGACUUAUUUUCCUUUUGAUUAGUUCUGCUGUAAACAGCCCGCUUGAACCCAAGACCUAUAUCAACCGAUUGCUCUUGAUGAGAGCAACCGAUUGAUGGUAGUCUCAGUUCAUAUCACGGUCAUUGAAGUCUGUUCGAAGUCCUUCGCUUGGCCCUCUUGUCUUUGCUAUUGAAUGCUAAUUAGGUAUAUCUCCCUCUUUUUCUUUUUAAUCGACUAUUUAAAUUGCAUGUAGUUAUACGGUUUAUUUAAGCUAAGGCAAUCAUGUGAUUUGAAUUGGGAUU